rnacentral:rRNA from 1 species
UACGAAGGGGGCUAGCGUUGUUCGGAAUUACUGGGCGUAAAGCGCGCGCAGGCGGUCUUCCAAGUCAGUGGUGAAAGCCUGGAGCUCAACUCCAGAACUGCCAUUGAAAACUGUUAGACUUGAGUACGAGAGAGGUGAGUGGAAUUCCCAGUGUAGAGGUGAAAUUCGUAGAUAUUGGGAAGAACACCGGUGGCGAAGGCGGCUCACUGGCUCGUAACUGACGCUCAGGCGCGACAGCGUGGGGAUCAAACAGG